GCAACUGUUUACCAAAAACACAGGUUUGUGCUAAAUCGAAAGAUGACGUAUACGAGCUGACGCCUGCCCGGUGCUGGAAGGUUAAGAGGAGAUGUGCAAGCAUUGAAUCGAAGCCCCAGUGAACGGCGGCCGUAACUAUAACGGUCCUAAGGUAGCGAAAUUCCUUGUCAGGUAAGUUCUGACCCGCACGAAAGGCGUAAUGAUUUGGGCACUGUCUCAACAGCCCGCCCGGCGAAAUUGUAGUACCGGUGAAGAUGCCGGUUACCCGCGACAAGACGGAAAGACCCCAUGGAGCUUUACUGUAGCCUAAUAUUGGGUUUCGAUGUUGCAUGCACAGGAUAGAUGGGACACUGGGAAGCAGGUGCUUUGGCGCUUGUGGAGUGGCCGUUGGGAUACCAUCCUUGCGAUAUUGGAAUUCUAACCUGCGCCUUUGAAUCAAGGCGGGGGACAUUGUUAGGUGGGCAGUUUGACUGGGGCGGUCGCCUCCUAAAGAGUAACGGAGGCGUUCAAAGGUUCGCUCAGCUUGAACGGAAAUCAAGCAAAAGAGUGCAAACGCAGAAGCGAGCCUAACUGCGAGACUGACGGGUCGAGCAGUAACGAAAGUUGGAGUUAGUGAUCCGGUGGUAUGUGAGUGGAAAUGCCAUCGCUCAACGGAUAAAAGCUACCCUGGGGAUAACAGGCUGAUCUCCCCCAAGAGUCCACAUCGACGGGGAGGUUUGGCACCUCGAUGUCGGCUCAUCGCAUCCUGGGGCUGUAUUCGGUCCCAAGGGUUUGGCUGUUCGCCAAUUAAAGCGGUACGCGAGCUGGGUUCAGAACGUCGUGAGACAGUUCGGUCCCUAUCUGUCGUGGGCGCAGGAUAUUUGAUGGGAGCUGUUCCUAGUACGAGAGGACCGGAGCGGACGUACCUCUGGCGCACCAGUUGUUCUGCCAAGAGCAUAGCUGGGCAACUAUGUACGGAUCGGAUAAACGCUGAAAGCAUCUAAGCGUGAAGCCGACCCAAAGAUAAGAUAUCCCAUUGUUUCAAACAAGUAAGACCCCUUGAAGACUACAAGGUUGAUAGGCACGAUGUGUAAGUGGAGCGAUCCAUUCAGCAAGCGUGUACUAAUAGGUCGAGGGCUUGACCAC
rnacentral:rRNA from 1 species